AACGAACGCUGGCGGCAGGCUUAACACGUGCAAGUCGAACGCACCGCAAGGUGAGUGGCAGACGGGUGAGUAACACGUGGGGAUCUGCCCAAUGGUACGGAAUAGCUCCGGGAAACUGGAAUUAAUACCGUAUGAGCCCGCAAGGGGAAAGAUUUAUCGCCAUUGGAUGAACCCGCGUCGGAUUAGCUAGUUGGUGUGGUAAAGGCGCACCAAGGCGACGAUCCGUAGCUGGUCUGAGAGGAUGAUCAGCCACACUGGGACUGAGACACGGCCCAGACUCCUACGGGAGGCAGCAGUGGGUAAUAUUGGACAAUGGGCGCAAGCCUGAUCCAGCCAUGCCGCGUGAGUGAUGAAGGCCUUAGGGUUGUAAAGCUCUUUCGCCGACGAAGAUAAUGACGGUAGUCGGAGAAGUAGCCCCGGCUAACUUCGUGCCAGCCGCCGCAGUAACAC
rnacentral:rRNA from 1 species